GUAAGGUAGUUUAGUUGUGUAUGCCUCUCUCUAAGGGGGCUUGGUUGUACUGAUGCCUCUCUCUAAGGGUGCUUGGUUGUACUGAUGCCUCUCUAAGGGGACUUGGUUGUACUGAUGCCUCUCUCUAAAGGGGCUUGGUUGUACUGAUGCCUCUCUCUAAGGGGACUUGGUUGUACUGAUGCCUCUCUAAGGAGGUUUGUUUGGUUGUGCAUUCCUCUGUAAGGGAGUUUAGUUGUGUAUGCCUCUCUCUAUAUAAGGUGGUUGUGAUUCCUCUGCAAGGGGGUUUGCCUCUAAGGUGGUUUGGCUGUGUAAUGCCUCUGUGCAUGGUUGUACCUCUGUAUGGGGGUUUGGUUUGGGUUUGUUGUCUCCAUUGGUGGUUGGAACGGUCAUGGAAUAGCACUGGUGGGCUGGAUGCUUCGGACUGCAGGUAGCUUGUAGCCCCUCGUGUAGAGUGGUCUAUUCGACUGCAGAUAGCAUUGUCUGGCCAGCUCAACUCCUUCGUUUGUAACCGUCGAGACCUCCUACCGCUCUUCACGACCCUGCAGCUGAGGUACCAUCAUACUAUCUAUAUCUGCAUGCCCCCCUCCAAAGCCAUUGCAUUGCCUCGCCUGUGUUAAUUAGGUUAGGCCAAUUUGUGUGUGUUUCUACACUUGUAGCUUGAUUUGUUAGGUAUAGAUAGAUAGCUUUUUUUUUUCUUUUCACAUAAUCUUGCACCAGCCAGAUUAUCAGAUCCAUGAGCAUUAGUAUAGAUCUAAUACCCUCAAAGUGAGGGUAAUGAUUCAUAUAUACUAUACUCUUUUUGUGUAAUCACUGUGUUUGUUUUUUUUUUUGUUCGUUAUCAGACCAAAUUCUCCCUUAGGCCAAUUAGUAGUUGUAGUUCUACACAGCCACUGUGUGGUUGUGCAGUUUAAUUUUUCUUUGUGUACUUACAUUUAUAUAAAUAUCCCUACAUACUCGUUAUAGAAGUUAUAAGAAUCAGGCUUUAUCACAAUUAAAUGCAUGCAAGAUUAUUAGAACCACCUUAAUAUAACAAAAAAAAAAAAACCGGGUAACACCACCAAAAAAACCUUUUUUUGUUUUAGAGUAAGAGCUUUCAUUCGUGCGUACUUUACUUACUUUGUGUUCAAUCUUGUUUGUGCUUUUUUAGGAUAGUUUAGUUUUUUUGUUUCUGUUCUAUGUUUGUCUUGUCGGCGAGGCUUGUAUGCAAUUGGUGGCGGGUGGUGGUGGCCUCUGCAAUGAUCACGCACACAUCACAUGACUAGUCACCACACAGGGGAUACUAAUCCCGGGGUCAAUGCUAGGCUCUACACUCACUCUUACCAAUGGCUACAAAGCCAACUGAACUCAGGCAGUCCAGCUCAGAGCGAGCUCUUGCACUAACCAAUGGCUGCAAAGCCAACUGUCCUGCUCAGAGCGAGCUUAUCUAACCAAUGGCAGGAGCACAAAUGAAGUGCCUAUUGCCCAAUUCAAAGCCUCUUACUGAAUGUUGGCUAAUAGAUCAGACUACUCCCAACAAAGGAGAAUGUCACUUAACCAAUGACAAUGACAAUGGCACAAUAUGCCUGAAAAGCCUUAAUCAAGAGUUGCUGCAUUGACCCCAGUGGUGUACUUAUCAUGCAAUAUAUGAUGUGUCAUGCAAUGUGUAUCACCAUUAUGAUGCAACAUGUGAGUAUAUUGUAGUCAGUAACUGCCUGCAUGAUUGAGUUACCUAUAUCAUCUGAUCAUCGUAACGGUGACUCAGAUUUGAACCCCUCCUAACCAGCACUCUCAGUGUUGCUCAGAGCGAGCUUAGGCUAUUAACAGCACAAAUCAAGUGCUUGUUAUAAUUUUAACUGACUAAGUGUGUUGCCACUUUAAGCUCUAUGGAACUAUGCUCUCUAUAAUCAUAUAGAUCUAGCAACAUUGCAGCAGUGGGUCAAAGCACCAACUGUCGGCUGUGGUUGCUACCAUGGCAACACUCUGUGUCAUACAUAUAAUUAUAAUUGUACUUAUCCACUCUCUGUAUAUCUUUUACAAGAACAGAUGAUCACAUGAGCAACAGAGCUGCUUAGUUGGGAAAACACUGCAUACUGCCAGUGACAGGAAGAAGAGCACGGCACCUGUCUUGGCCUGUGUCAAGAUCAAUAUGCCCCAGGGCACUGUACUGUGUCUUGUCUGUUGCUUGCUUGUAUGCAGCCCAUGCUGGCUAACCAGUGUCAUGUACAUGGUUGUGUGCAUGUGCAAUACUUUUUCCACAGGUUGCCAUGUUAAGAAAUAGUUAGCCUGAUCUGUAUUGAUUUGCUUUCAGCUCAUAUGCCUCUGAAGGUUCAGUUCGUGUGCCUGUCUCUCCAGUACACGUAGUGAUGGUGGCCGCUGUGACCCGUCAAUUGCAAACCAGUUCAUCCACUAUACUAUCAGGUUCCAAUCGUGUACUUUGUAUUAUCGUGUUUCUUUACGCUUACCUGUGAAUGGUCAUGUGUGUACUUCUAGUACAAGCCCCUCAAGAACCAACAGUAAGCUCCAUUGUGUACUUUGUAACCUCUUGAUUUCAGACCUGUGUGUGUGCGUACCUCAAGAACCAACAGUAAGCUCCAUUGUGUACUUUGUAACCUCUUGAUUUCAGCCCUGUGUGUGUGCGUACCUCAAGAACCAACAGUAAGCUCCAUUGUGUACUUUGUAACCUCUUGAUUUCAGCCCUGUGUGUGUGCGUACCUCAAGAACCAACAGUAAGCUCCAUUGUGUACUUUGUAACCUCUUGAUUUCAGACCUGUGUGUGUGUGCGUACCUCAAGAACCAACAGUAAGCUCCAUUGUGUACUUUGUAACCUCUUGAUUUCAGACCUGUGUGUGUGCGUACCUCAAGAACCAACAGUAAGCUCCAUUGUGUACUUUGUAACCUCUUGAUUUCAGACCUGUGUGUGUGCGUACCUCAAACCAACAGUAAGCUCCAUUGUGUACUUUGUAACCUCUUGAUUGCAGACCUGUGUGUGUGUGCGUACCUCAAGAACCAACAGUAAGCUCCAUUGUGUACUUUGUAACCUCUUGAUUUCAGACCUGUGUGUGUGCGUACCUCAAGAACCAACAGUAAGCUCCAUUGUGUACUUUGUAACCUCUUGAUUUCAGACCUGUGUGUGUGCGUACCUCAAGAACCAACAGUAAGCUCCAUUGUGUACUGUGUAACCUCUUGAUUUCAGACCAGUGUGUGUGCGUACCUCAAGAACCAACAGUAAGCUCCUUUGUGUACUUUGUAACCUCUUGAUUUCAGACCUGUGUGUGUGCGUACCUCAAGAACCAACAGUAAGCUCCUUUGUGUACUUUGUAACCUCUUGAUUUCAGACCUGUGUGUGUGCGUACCUCAAGAACCAACAGUAAGCUCCAUUGUGUACUUUGUAACCUCUUGAUUUCAGACCAGUGUGUGUGUGCGUACCUCAAGAACCAACAGUAAGCUCCAUUGUGUACUUUGUAACCUCUUGAUUUCAGACCUGUGUGUGUGCAUACCUCAAGAACCAACAGUAACCUCCAUUGUGUACUUUGUAACCUCUUGAUUUCAGCCCUGUGUGUGUGCGUACCUCAAGAACCAACAGUAAGCUCCAUUGUGUACUUUGUAACCUCUUGAUUUCAGACCAGUGUGUGUGUGCGUACCUCAAGAACCAACAGUAAGCUCCUUUGUGUACUUUGUAACCUCUUGAUUUCAGACCUGUGUGUGUGCGUACCUCAAGAACCAACAGUAAGCUCCAUUGUGUACUUUGUAACCUCUUGAUUUCAGACCAGUGUGUGUGCGUACCUCAAGAACCAACAGUAAGCUCCAUUGUGUAUAACGUACUUUGUAACUUCUUGAUUUCAGACCUAUGUGUGUGCGUACCUCAAGAACCAACAGUAAGCUCCAUUGUGUACUUUGUAACCUCUUGAUUUCAGACCUGUGUGUGUGCGUACCUCAAGAACCAACAGUAAGCUCCAUUGUGUACUUUGUAACCUCUUGAUUGCAGACCUGUGUGUGUGUGCGUACCUCAAGAACCAACAACUAGUGUGUGUGCGUACCUCAAGAACCAACAACCAGUGUGUGUGUCUAGUGCAAGCCCAGUGAGUUCCCUGGUGAUAGCAAGCUAGGGUGUGUAAUCCGCUCGCCUUAAAGUACUCCAAAAUAAAUUAUGAGAAGAGACGAAAUUGCUAGUAAAGUGUUUAAACAUUGCCUAGAGAAGGAACAAUGAACUGUACACUUACACUUGAUCAUAAUUAUAAUUAUUGUUAUUUUAGCAUUAUUUGUUUUGUGCCUGUUAUUUAUGAAUCGGUUUGCUUGUAUUAUAAUUUGUGAAUGUCUUGAUACAUAAUUUGUAUAUAAUUAUGCGCAGUAUCAGUAACGUAUUUAAUUAUUAUGAUGGUUAUAAUUAUAUAUCCCCAUGCCAUGCACGGAUUGUUGGCUGUGUAUAUUGUUUAUACCUUAUAUCACCUCAUGUAUUAAUAUUCUGUCUACAUUCCUUGUAUGUACCGUUAUCAUUCUAUUAUAGCACCAGCCUCGGUUAGGACGCCCUCUUUUAU